AGAAAGAGAUAGCAAUUCCACCACAGCUCUUCCUGAUAUUCCUCACAAUCUCUGCCCUGUUCCAUGCCCCUGCUGAUGAUACUACAUGAACGGUGUAUGUGACUCAUUUGAAUAUUCAUGAGCCUUAACAAGACACAAUUCUUCAACCACAACAGCCACCUGGAACUGAGGGAUUCUUGAGGCUGGGAGGUGAUACACAUUCCAAGGCUGGAGUUCCAAUGGUCAUGUGGAUGCUUCAGUUUUGGACUCCCUAUUUUAGCUGUCUUUUUACCCUAUUGUGUAUUAAACAACUUCAGUAUUGGAUUUUCUGCUCCCUGAAGCCAUGCCUAGUUCUCACUGAUACAAAGAGAGCUAAUACCACCUGCUUCAGGGUGUGGCUCCAAGGAUCAGUCAAGAAUCUGUGAAAUACUUGGCCAGCAGAUGCAUGUGCAAGGACAUCACAAUUUC